UCGAUGUUUAUCCUCUCUGAUGUUUAUCUUUCUUCUUCGUCUUCUCAUAUUCAUCUCCUCAACGAUGUACGGUAGAGGUUACUUCUAUUGGAUACAUCGGCAUUUGAAACCCUAAAUCAUGAACCGUCGAGUGGUUGAAGAAGAGAAUAAUCAUAAGAAGAAACAGAUCUCCUAGGGUUUCUUAUCGUACUCGAUGAACGCUUUUGUACAAGCUCUUCUUAAUCGGUAACUCUGAGUUUGUUGAUUAGAAGCAACCUCUGCCAUAAUAGGUGAUAUCAGUACAAAAGUUUAGGACAUCAACAAGCUUGUUGGUUUUUUGUUGGUUUAUAGCUUUUUUGUUGGUUUAUAGAGGUUGUUGAGGAGAUGAAAAUGUGAAAGGUGAUACCAAGUGUCUUGAUAGGUGAUACCAGUACAAAAGUUUAAGACAUCAGCAAGAUCUCUCGUCAUGUCAAUUUUUAGCAAUUAAACGGAGUGCUUAAAAAGUUUUCCAUCAGCUAUUUGGCUUAACAAUAGUUUUCGUUAUUUAUUCAACUGAACUUUCCUACAAUAGGCACAGCCCAACUAAGUUUCCUACAAUGACAGUGGUUAUAACAAGUCAAUAUGGCAAAUCACUGUUCAAUUAUCUGUCUAACAAGUGUUGGAUAUAAUGAUGGUUCUACAUAAAGUAUGAUAAACAUCAUCCACUGUUCAAUUAUGAAAAACCACUGAUCAAGACCAAAGUCCAGACAAGCACUGAUCAACUAAAUGUGAAACACUCUUCAACAACAGUGGUUCCCCAUCAACAUUAGUUGUUCUAUCUUUGUUUAUGUUAGCAGUGUUUAUUCUAUCUUUGUUUAUUUUAAC